UACAGAGGUCCCAAGCGUUGUUCGGAUUCACUGGGCGUAAAGGGUGCGUAGGUGGCGAGGUAAGUCGGAUGUGAAAGCUCGGAGCUCAACUCCGAAAUGGCAUUGGAAACUACCUGGCUUAAGGGUUGGAAGGGGGACUGGAAUUCUCGGUGUAGCAGUGAAAUGCGUAGAUAUCGAGAGGAACACCAGUGGCGAAGGCGAGUCCCUGGACAAUACCUGACACUGAGGCACGAAAGCUAGGGGAGCAAACAGG
rnacentral:rRNA from 1 species